rnacentral:rRNA from 1 species
UUACCCGCCAGAGAAUAACGAGCUAAAGCUUAAAACUCAAAGGACUUGGCGGCACUCCAUACCACCCUAGAGGGGCCUGUCACAUAAUCGAUAACCCACGAUACACCUCACCUCUUUUGCUUAGCCUAUAUACCGCCGUCGCCAGCCCAUCUUGAUAGGGAAAACCAAAUGGGCCCAAUAGCCUCGCCACACUAGCACGACAGGUCAAGGUGUAGCCAACAAAGCGGCAAAUGAUGGACCACAUUGCCCCCAAAGCCAACCCAAAUUGUAAUGAAACACACACUUUAAGGUGAAUUUAACAGUAAGGUGAACA